AGAUAGAGGAGUGCUCGAGAGAGAGCCGUAACACAGGUGCUGCAUGGCUGUCGUCAGCUCGUGUCGUGAGAUGUUGGGUUAAGUCCCGCAACGAGCGCAACCCUUGUCAUUAGUUGCUACAUUCAGUUGGGCACUCUAAUGAGACUGCCGGUGACAAACCGGAGGAAGGUGGGGAUGACGUCAAGUCCUCAUGGCCCUUAUAGGUGGGGCUACACACGUCAUACAAUGGAUGGUACAAAGGGUCGCCAACCCGCGAGGGGGAGCCAAUCCCAUAAAGCCAUUCGUAGUCCGGAUCGCAAUCUGCAACUCGACUGCGUGAAGUCGGAAUCGCUAGUAAUCGUGGAUCAGAAUGUCACGGUGAAUACGUUCCCGGGUCUU
rnacentral:rRNA from 1 species